rnacentral:tRNA from 1 species
GUCCCCGUCGUCUAGCCCGGCCUAGGACACCGCCCUUUCACGGCGCAGACGCGGGUUCAAAUCCCGCCGGGGACGCCA